ACAGUGCAAUUCAGAUGAUGGAGAAUCCUCUUUCCUCUGAAUAGUGUUAGUGCCUCAUGGCUGAACCUCAGCUUCACCUCCUAGGCAAUAGUUAUGAUCCUUGCCUUUGUGUGUGGACUGGGGCUCUUUCUCCUCUUAUUGCCCUGCCUCCAGGGUAAUCCAUCCUUCUCACCACCAAGGAUGAAGGUAAAUUUCAGGAAGCAUCUGAAGGUAAAAAAGGGACAGAGGAAGAAGAGUGGCAUUCUGAAAGGUUAUAGUGAUUGCUGGAAGAAAGUGGAAGACAAUGAAGAUCUGCUUUCACUUCUAAAAAUGUAA